rnacentral:rRNA from 1 species
UACAGAGGUGGCAAGCGUUGUUCGGAAUUACUGGGCGUAAAGGGCGCGUAGGCGGCCUACUAAGUCAGACGUGAAAUCCCCCGGCUUAACCUGGGAACUGCGUCUGAUACUGGAAGGCUUGAGUAUGGGAGAGGGAUGUAGAAUUCCAGGUGUAGCGGUGAAAUGCGUAGAUAUCGUGAGGAAGACCAGUGGCGAAGGCGGGUCUCUGGACAGUUCCUGACACUGAGGCACGAAGGCCAGGGGAGCAAACGGG